rnacentral:rRNA from 1 species
AUUGAACGCUGGCGGCAUGCUUUACACAUGCAAGUCGAACGGUAACAGGCCUUCGGGUGCUGACGAGUGGCGAACGGGUGAGUAAUGCAUCGGAACGUGCCCAAUCGUGGGGGAUAACGUAGCGAAAGUUACGCUAAUACCGCAUAAGCCCUGAGGGGGAAAGUGGGGACCGCAAGGCCUCACGCGAAUGGAGCGGCCGAUGUCAGAUUAGCUAGUUGGUGGGGUAAAGGCCCACCAAGGCGACGAUCUGUAGCGGGUCUGAGAGGAUGAUCCGCCACACUGGGACUGAGACACGGCCCAGACUCCUACGGGAGGCAGCAGUGGGGAAUUUUGGACAAUGGGCGCAAGCCUGAUCCAGCCAUGCCGCGUGCGGGACGAAGGCCUCGGUUGU